rnacentral:rRNA from 1 species
UACAGAGGGUGCGAGCGUUGUCCGGAAUCACUGGGCGUAAAGGGCGCGUAGGUGGCGACCCAAGUCGAUGGUGAAAGCUCGCCGCUCAACGGCGAGUCGGCCACCGAUACUGGGUUGCUUGAGCACUGUAGAGGCUAAUGGAAUUCCGGGUGUAGCGGUGGAAUGCGUAGAGAUCCGGAAAAACACCGGUGGCGAAGGCGGUUAGCUGGGCAGUUGCUGACACUGAGGCGCGACAGCGUGGGGAGCAAACAGG